AUUUCUUCUGCCCUUGAUUGUUGGGCCAGUUUGUGGAAUUUUACUGAUUAUUCUCCUGCUGCUGUUGUGUUGCUACAGAAAGUCAAAGGAUUCAUACUUCGCUAGGACCCCACAGUCUCAGAGAACCAAUAAGGGCUCUGCUCCAGAUCAAGUGGUUUACCAGAAUGAAACGACAGUGCACUCCUCUCAUCUCCAUGGUGAUGCUUGUCUCUCUGAAUCCAUCAGAGGCUCAGAAAACACUGAAAAUGAUGCAGAUGAAUCCAGCUAUGUCACAUACUCGUUGAUUCAGCUUAAACACAGUAGUAAUAAAGGGCAGCAUAAUGAACCAGAGGAGAGCUCCCUUUACUCGAAUGUGAAGACAAGAUCAGCUGCAGGAAGAUCAUCUCCUGCAGCAACAGAUGAAACUGUUUAUUCAGAAGUCAAAAUAGGAACGGCUCUUGGUAAUAAUGCUCCCAUGUAAUGUGCAUGUUGUGAUUUGUGUCUUUAAAGCGACUACAUCUUAAAUAACCUUUUAUCUCUGCUUUCGCUGGUUUUCUUCCAGUUCCAUAAAGAGAAGAGUAUUACUUUUUCAUGUGUAAUGACCUUUUAUUCCUUUAAGA